GACCUCGCGCGAGUGGAGGCCGGCCGAUGUCAGUAGUUAGGUAGUUGGUGGGUAAAGGCUCACCAAGCCAACGAUCUGUAGCUGGUCUGAGAGGACGACCAGCCACACUGGAACUGAGACACGGUCCAGACUCCUACGGGAGGCAGCAGUGGGGAAUUUUGGACAAUGGGCGCAAGCCUGAUCCAGCCAUUCCGCGUGCAGGAUGAAGGCCUUCGGGUUGUAAACUGCUUUUGUACGGAACGAAACGGCGAGCUCUAAUACAGUUUGCUAAUGACGGUACCGUAAGAAUAAGCACCGGCUAACUACGUG
rnacentral:rRNA from 1 species